UCGAGAAUCUUCGUCAAUGGGGGAAACCCUGAACGAGCGACGCCGCGUGGAGGAUGAAGGCCUUCGGGUUGUAAACUCCUGUUGGGAGGGAACAAAUUUUGAGUGACCUCCUGAGGAAGCACGGGCUAAGUUCGUGCCAGCAGCCGCGGUAAGACGAACCGUGCGAACGUUAUUCGGAAUCAUUGGGCUUAAAGGGCGCGUAGGCGGCGGUGUAAGUUGGAAGUGAAAUCCCAUCGGCUCAACCGUGGAAUUGCUCCCAGUACUGCAUCGCUCGAGGGGGAUAGGGGUUUGCGGAACUACCGGUGGAGCGGUGAAAUGUGUUGAUAUCGGUGGGAACGCCAGUGGCGAAAGCGGCAAACUUGACCCUUCCUGACGCUGAUGCGCGAAAGCUAGGGGAGCAAACGGGAUUAGAUACCCCCGUAGUCC
rnacentral:rRNA from 1 species